rnacentral:rRNA from 1 species
AACGAACGCUGGCGGCAGGCCUAACACAUGCAAGUCGAACGGGACCUUCGGGUCUAGUGGCGGACGGGUGAGUAACGCGUGGGAACGAGCCCUUUGGUUCGGAAUAGCCCCGGGAAACUGGGAGUAAUACCGGAUAAGCCCUACGGGGGAAAGAUUUAUCGCCAAAGGAUCGGCCCGCGUUGGAUUAGGUAGUUGGUGAGGUAAUGGCUCACCAAGCCGACGAUCCAUAGCUGGUUUGAGAGGAUGAUCAGCCACACUGGGACCGAGACACGGCCCAGACUCCUACGGGAGGCAGCAGUGGGGAAUCUUAGACAAUGGGGGAAACCCUGAUCUAGCCAUGCCGCGUGAUCGAUGAAGGCCUUAGGGUUGUAAAGAUCUUUCAGUGGGGAAGAUAAUGACUGUACCCACAGAAGAAGCCCCGGCUAACUCCGUGCCAGCCGCCGCGGUAAGAC